rnacentral:rRNA from 1 species
UCAGUUCGGAUUGUAGUCUGCAACUCGACUACAUGAAGCUGGAAUCGCUAGUAAUCGCAGAUCAGAAUGCUGCGGUGAAUACGUUCCCGGGUCUUGUACACACCGCCCGUCACACCAUGGGAGUCGGAAAUGCCCGAAGCCGGUGACCCAACCAAAAGGAGGGAGCCGUCGAAGGCAGGUCUGAUAACUGGGGUGAAGUCGUAACAAGGUACC